rnacentral:rRNA from 1 species
AGUGAACGCUGGCGGUAGGCCUAACACAUGCAAGUCGAACGGCAGCACAGUAAGAGCUUGCUCUUACGGGUGGCGAGUGGCGGACGGGUGAGGAAUACAUCGGAAUCUACUUUUUCGUGGGGGAUAACGUAGGGAAACUUACGCUAAUGCCGCAUACGACCUACGGGUGAAAGCAGGGGAUCUUCGGACCUUGCGCGAUUGAUUGAGCCGAUGUCGGAUUAGCUAGUUGGCGUGGUAAAGGCCCACCAAGGCGACGAUCCGUAGCUGGUCUGAGAGGAUGAUCAGCCACACUGGAACUGAGACACGGUCCAGACUCCUACGGGAGGCAGCAGUGGGGAAUAUUGGACAAUGGGCGAAAGCCUGAUCCAGCCAUACCGCGUGGGUGAAGAAGGCCUUCGGGUUGUAAAGCCCUUUUGUUGGGAAAGAAAAGCAGCAGGUUAAUACCCCGCUGUUCUGACGGUACCCAAAGAAUAAGCACCGGCUAACUUCGUG